rnacentral:rRNA from 1 species
CAGUAGCCGCGGGAAUACGUAGGGUGCAAGCGUUGUCCGGAAUUAUUGGGCGUAAAGAGCUCGUAGGCGGUUUGUCGCGUCUGCUGUGAAAACGCGAGGCUCAACCUCGCGCCUGCAGUGGGUACGGGCAGACUAGAGUGCGGUAGGGGAGAUUGGAAUUCCUGGUGUAGCGGUGGAAUGCGCAGAUAUCAGGAGGAACACCGAUGGCGAAGGCAGAUCUCUGGGCCGUAACUGACGCUGAGGAGCGAAAGCGUGGGGAGCGAACAGGAUUAGAUACCCCCGUAGUCCCUGUCUCUUAUAC